rnacentral:misc_RNA from 1 species
CAGAGUUGCAAGACUCCCUAAACCAUUGUGAACCUACCUUCUACCGUUGCUUCGGCGGGCGGGCCCAGCGCCCCCCCCGGCCCCCCGCGGGCGCCCGCCGGAGGAUACCCAAACCUCUUGACAUUAGUGGCCUCUCUGAGUAUUCUUUACUGAAUAAGUCA